rnacentral:misc_RNA from 1 species
GAUGAAGAACGCAGCGAAAUGCGAUACUUGGUGUGAAUUGCAGAAUCCCGUGAACCAUCGAGUCUUUGAACGCAAGUUGCGCCCGAAGCCAUCAGGUUGAGGGCACGUCUGCCUGGGCGUCACAUAUCGUUGCCCAAUGCCUAUUGCAGUGCAAUAGGAAUUUCUAGGGCGAAUGAUGGCUUCCCGUGAGCGUUGUUGCCUCGCGGUUGGUUGAAAAUCGAGUCCUUGGUAGGGUGUGCCAUGGUAGAUGGUGGUCGAGUUAGAACGAUACCGAUCAUGUGCAUGCUCCCCAAAAUAUGGCCUCUAUGACCCACACGCGUCUUUUGUCGCUCAUGACGAGACCUCAGGUCAGGCGGGGCUACCCGCUGAAUUUAAGCAUAUCAAUACGCGGAGGA